GGGGAUUUAGCUCAGUGGCAUAAGCACCUGCCUUGCAAGCAGGUGGUCGUGAGUUCAAUCCCUG
rfam:Cavia porcellus supercont2_9 genomic scaffold, whole genome shotgun sequence.